rnacentral:rRNA from 1 species
AUGCUAGCUAGUGCCAAUGCCACCGUCGGUUUGGGGGCUGUUUUUCUUGGAUUUCCCUCAGUGUUGUUGCUUGAUCACAAAAAACUGAGCUUAAAUAGUUUUGACGAUGCAAAGGUUGGAUGCAGAUUCUUUCUUUCUUUCAACGUAUGCAGAGAGAUUUCUACUGCUGGGUGUAUGUAUUAUUAUAUAAUGUAUCAGACCCCGAGUUUGCAUUUUGCUGUGCAGAAGGAAGGAAGGGCGCCUGCCUUGUUUGCAUAUCUCCGGAAGGAAAUGCUCUGCUCCAAAAAAGGAGGAUCAUAUUUCUCUGUUUAUUUUUCGUUGAGCGCCGGUGUUGGUCUUGUCGUGUUAAAGUUUGCAUUGUAUUGUAUUGUGUGGCCGACUUAA